UACGUAGGGUGCAAGCGUUGUCCGGAAUUAUUGGGCGUAAAGAGCUCGUAGGCGGUUUGUUGCGUCGGCUGUGAAAUCCCGAGGCUCAACCUCGGGUCUGCAGUCGAUACGAGCAAACUAGAGUGUUGCAGGGGAGACUGGAAAUCCUGGUGUAGCGGUGAAAUGCGCAGAUAUCAGGAGGAAUACCGAUGGCGAAGGCAGGUCUCUGGGCUGAUACUGACGCUCAUGCACGAAAGCGUGGGGAGCAAACAGG
rnacentral:rRNA from 1 species